rnacentral:rRNA from 1 species
CAGCAGUAGCCACGGUAAUACGAAGGGGGCUAGCGUUGUUCGGAUUUACUGGGCGUAAAGCGCACGUAGGCGGAUCGAUCAGUCAGGGGUGAAAUCCCAGAGCUCAACUCUGGAACUGCCUUUGAUACUGUCGAUCUGGAGUAUGGAAGAGGUGAGUGGAAUUCCGAGUGUAGAGGUGAAAUUCGUAGAUAUUCGGAGGAACACCAGUGGCGAAGGCGGCUCACUGGUCCAUUACUGACGCUGAGGUGCGAAAGCGUGGGGAGCAAACAGGAUUAGAUACCCCUGUAGUCCCUGUCUCUUAUAC